rnacentral:rRNA from 1 species
AGUGAACGCUGGCGGUAGGCCUAACACAUGCAAGUCGAACGGCAGCACAGUAAGAGCUUGCUCUUACGGGUGGCGAGUGGCGGACGGGUGAGGAAUACAUCGGAAUCUACUUUUUCGUGGGGGCUAACGUAGGGAAACUUACGCUAAUACCGCAUACGACCUACGGGUGAAAGCAGGGGAUUUUCGGACUUUGCGCGAUUGAAUGAGCCGAUGUCGGAUUAGCUAGUUGGCGGGGUAAAGGCCCACCAAGGCGACGAUCCGUAGCUGGUCUGAGAGGAUGAACAGCCACACUGGAACUGAGACACGGUCCAGACUCCUACGGGAGGCAGCAGUGGGGAAUAUUGGACAAUGGGCGCAAGCCUGAUCCAGCCAUACCGCGUGGGUGAAGAAGGCCUUCGGGUUGUAAAACCCUUUUGUUGGGAAAGAAAAGCAGCAGGUUAAUACCCCGCUGUUCUGACGGUACCCAAAGAAUAAGCACCGGCUAACUUCGUG